rnacentral:lncRNA from 1 species
GUGCCCUUGGGGCUCCGUGUCCUGCUGUCUUUCCGUCCGCUGCCUAGUCUGCAUCUGAGUAACAUGGCGGCGGCGGCGGUAGCCAGGCUGUGGUGGCGCGGGAUCUUGGGGGCCUCGGCGCUGACCAGGGGGACUGGGCGACCCUCCGUUCUGUUGCUGCCGGUGAGGCGGGAGAGCGCCGGGGCCGACACGCGCCGUGACCACUGUCAGACCACGGAAUGAUGUGGCCCACAAGCAGCUCUCAGCUUUUGGAGAGUAUGUGGCUGAAAUCUUGCCCAAGUAUGUCCAACAAGUUCAGGUGUCCUGCUUCAAUGAGUUAGAGGUCUGUAUCCAUCCUGAUGGCGUCAUCCCAGUGCUGACUUUCCUCAGGGAUCACACCAAUGCACAGUUCAAAUCUCUGGUUGACUUGACAGCAGUG